rnacentral:rRNA from 1 species
UGGGGAAUUUUGGACAAUGGGCGCAAGCCUGAUCCAGCCAUGCCGCGUGGGUGAAGAAGGCCUUCGGGUUGUAAAGCCCUUUCGGCCGGGAAGAAAACGUGCGGGCGAACAGUCUGCACGGAUGACGGUACCGGAAGAAGAAGCACCGGCUAACUACGUGCCAGCAGCCGCGGUAAUACGUAGGGUGCGAGCGUUAAUCGGAAUUAUUGGGCGUAAAGCGUGCGCAGGCGGCGCCAUAAGACAGCUGUGAAAUCCCCGGGCUUAACCUGGGAACUGCGGUUGUGACUGUGGUGCUAGAGUACGGCAGAGGGAGGUGGAAUUCCUGGUGUAGCAGUGAAAUGCGUAGAGAUCAGGAGGAACACCGAUGGCGAAGGCAGCCUCCUGGGCUGAUACUGACGCUCAUGCACGAAAGCGUGGGGAGCAAACA